UUACCUUGGUAAGGUCCUGAGACAUUAAACCGACAUCAAAUAACUAGGGGCCACAGAAGCGUUGUCUCGUGCCGCCUGUGUCUCGGCCAAACAGCAACACUAGAGCAGACCCAUCGACCACAGAGGGCGUAUGUACGUUGGUGAGAGGUAAUAACUCUCCACACCAGCAGGUGGCAGUAGUCUGCAUUCAUCAUUCAAAAGCAGCUCGGAGGUUUUGUUUAUUAUUAUUAUAUAUUAUAUAUAUUUUUGUUUACUUGUUAUUCACCAGCUGACCAAGGCAAAUUCCUUGUAUGUGACAACCUACUUGGCAAUAAACCUGAUUCUGAUUCUGAAUGAUGAACGUGCCCAGUACAUACCGUGUGCAUCCCGCAUGUAUGGCCACAGCUGGAAUAGACAGCACUGAGUCUUUGGCUUUACAAUCGGCCUAUUAUUUAUUCAGGGGACCUAAAUAUACUGGAAAACAUAAAUGCAUCCAGAAAAAAAAAACAGUGGCACCAACAAUUACGAUACUUUAGAGCUCCUCUAAAAUUUCUCGAAUGAGGCUUUCUUGGAAACCGAGCUCGUUGUAGCUCCCGUGUUUUGAAAAAGUGGUUUAAGUUAAAGUCUGUUCAACUUCCAAAACAAACCUCUUCUGUAUCUUUAGUGUGAACUGGUUAUAAUGUGGGAACAACAGGUUCACAUUCAUUAAACAAGGUCACAUAAUGAACACUGUGCAUUCAACAGUUGAUUGUGACUCUGAUAGUAAACUGUUUGUUCAAUGCAAUAUUAGAAAUGCUGACAUUGUGAGAACAGCUGCUAAUUUAAUGUCUGUUUCUUUUACAGCAAUAAUCCAUAAAAUAGUCGAGGAGAAGAACCCUGUCUUUCUGAGUUGUCCUCACUCUGUGGAGGGUAAAGUGACGUGGAGCAGAGAGAGAGAUGGAACUAAAGUUGACUUAUUUACAGCUGAUGGUGACAGAGAGAUAAGACACAUUAAUGAUCCAGGCAGACGAUACAGUUCAGUGGCAGAUAAAUCACUUUACAUUGGUAGAGUUACUGUCUCAGACACUGGAAGAUACUUCUGUAAUAAUGAACCAGCUGUGGAGCUGACGGUGAUCCCAUCAGGAACAACCAGACUUGAUGCUGCAGAGAGGACCACCAUCACUCUGAAAUGUCCUCCUGAUGUUGGAGGAUCAGAUGUUCCAACAUGGAGCAGAGACACUGUUGAAAUACAACAACAGAGACGGUUUCAUGUUUCACCUGCUGACAACACGUUGAUAAUAACAGACCUGCAGCCUGCUGACUCUGGACUUUAUUACUGUGAUGGAAAACUUGCUGCGUAUCUAAUUGUGAACAAAGGUGAGACAUCUGAAAGAGGUGAGACACAAGAAGUGAGACAGGAAGACAGAAAUAUGGGCAGAAUAAGCAGCUGCUGUAUGCCAACACUAUACACAUAAACUGUGUGGUCAAGAUCUGCUAGUUAACAACACUGAGAGAUUCAGACUUUACUACAAAAUCGACUUUAACUCGCUUAAUUCUGAACCUGAAUUUGGUUUGUCAUAUAUAUGAGAAAUUGAACCUGAUACUGGUUGGAAUUAAUUCAGUCACUGUGCAGGAUUCAUUUACACGUGACUUUUGCUACAAACCUGCAAAUGUGUGUGGAGAUCUGUCAGUGUGUCUCAGUAGCUGUACAGCCUACAGACCAGCAGAUGGAGGUAGUGUCUAUUGUUUUACAGCCAAAUAGUGAUAUGGGGCACCGGAUAUAUUAAAUUUACUGUUUAUCAGACCAAAACUGAGUCAUGAAUUAGGUUAAAAAAAAACAAUAGAUGAAUAAUAACACAUAUUUAGAUUAUUUUACACAUUUGCAAAUCUGAUACACACAGAUACAGAUACAGUUACUCUGAGCUCUGUGUGUGAGAGCCUCAAUGCAGCUCAGUUCUAACCUUUAGAUACAGAAUCUACUGGUUGUAAAUAUGAUGUAGUUCACAUCAACAUACUGCCCACUGUAUUCUCUCUGCCCCACACAGAGGCAGCAACAUCAACGACAAAAGGAACUCCUACAACUACAGUCAUUGUUUGGGAUCAAUGUAAAGAUUGCAGUCUGGUGCUUCAGUCGUCUAAAGCAGUCGGAACCAUUGUGACAAAAUAGAAAAAAGCUGAUAUUUAGCAUAAACUCCUGAGAAUGAGG
rnacentral:lncRNA from 15 species